rnacentral:rRNA from 1 species
AGUGAACGCUGGCGGUAGGCCUAACACAUGCAAGUCGAACGGCAGCACAGUAAGAGCUUGCUCUUACGGGUGGCGAGUGGCGGACGGGUGAGGAAUACAUCGGAAUCUACUUUUUCGUGGGGGAUAACGUAGGGAAACUUACGCUAAUACCGCAUACGACCUACUGGUGAAAGCAGGGGAUCUUCGGACCUUGCGCGAUUGGAUGAGCCGAUGUCGGAUUAGCUAGUUGGCGGGGUAAAGGCCCACCAAGGCGACGAUCCGUAGCUGGUCUGAGAGGAUGAUCAGCCACACUGGAACUGAGACACGGUCCAGACUCCUACGGGAGGCAGCAGUGGGGAAUAUUGGACAAUGGGCGCAAGCCUGAUCCAGCCAUACCGCGUGGGUGAAGAAGGCCUUCGGGUUGUAAAGCCCUUUUGUUGGGAAAGAAAAGCAGCAGGUUAAUACCCCGCUGUUCUGACGGUACCCAAAGAAUAAGCACCGGCUAACUUCGUG